rnacentral:rRNA from 1 species
CAGCCGCCGCGGUAAUACAGAGGGUGCAAGCGUUAAUCGGAAUUACUGGGCGUAAAGCGCGCGUAGGUGGUUUGUUAAGUUGGAUGUGAAAUCCCCGGGCUCAACCUGGGAACUGCAUCCAAAACUGGCAAGCUAGAGUAUGGUAGAGGGUGGUGGAAUUUCCUGUGUAGCGGUGAAAUGCGUAGAUAUAGGAAGGAACACCAGUGGCGAAGGCGACCACCUGGACUGAUACUGACACUGAGGUGCGAAAGCGUGGGGAGCAAACAGGAUUAGAUACCCCGGUAGUCCCUGUCUCUAUACA